rnacentral:rRNA from 1 species
UACAGAGGUCUCGAGCGUUGUUCGGAUUCAUUGGGCGUAAAGGGUGCGUAGGCGGCGGGGUAAGUUUGAUGUGAAAUCCCGGGGCUCAACCCUGGAAUUGCAUUGAAUACUACCUUGCUAGAGUACCGGAGAGGAAACUGGAAUUUACGGUGUAGCAGUGAAAUGCGUAGAGAUCGUAAGGAAGACCAGUGGCGAAGGCGAGUUUCUGGACGGUAACUGACGCUGAGGCACGAAGGCCAGGGGAGCAAACGGG